UACGGAGGGGGGCUAGCGUUGUUCGGAAUUACUGGGCGUAAAGCGCACGUAGGCGGCUUUGUAAGUUAGAGGUGAAAGCCCAGGGCUUAACCCUGGAAUUGCCUUUAAGACUGCAUCGCUAGAAUCGUGGAGAGGUGAGUGGAAUUCCGAGUGUAGAGGUGAAAUUCGUAGAUAUUCGGAAGAACACCAGUGGCGAAGGCGACUCACUGGACACGUAUUGACGCUGAGGUGCGAAAGCGUGGGGAGCAAACAGGG
rnacentral:rRNA from 1 species